AGAAUCAACGCUGGCGGCGUGCCUAACACAUGCAAGUCGAACGCGGUUACCCCGCAAGGGGUGACUGAGUGGCAAACGGGUGAGUAACGCGUGGGUGACCUACCUUCGAGUGGGGGAUAACGUUUCGAAAGGAACGCUAAUACCGCAUGACAUCCUGCCUUUGGAAAGGCGGAGAUCAAAGCCGGGGAUCGUAAGACCUGGCGCUUGGAGAGGGGCCCGCGUCCGAUUAGCUAGUUGGUGAGGUAACGGCUCACCAAGGCGACGAUC
rnacentral:rRNA from 1 species